GAGUGGGGAAGUUUAUUCUUACUAAGAACGAGCUUAACAAUAACUGAUGAAGGAUGACCUAAUCUACUGUGCCACUUUGCUGAAGAAGGCUUGACAGCAACUAAAGCAUGUUUAUUUGAUGAUGAUGAUGACGAUAUGAUUGGGUAGAGACCUCCCACGCACUUGCCUCUAAGAAGAACCCUCCUCGUGUCCAAGUCCUUAACCAAAAAGAAAUAACGAUAAAAUUCAAUGAGAACACGAUUAUCAAGGGUAAAUCUACGAACAAAAAGAAGUUUUUUUUAUGUUUCGGGCACAUAGAGAAUUCUGUUUAGAUGAAAGUUUUUCACGGGGGUUUUGACAAUUGAACUACCAACAUGAGUAAUAUCCAUACCAGAACCACUUGCAG
rnacentral:lncRNA from 1 species